rnacentral:rRNA from 1 species
UACGGGGGGGGCAAGCGUUGUUCGGAAUUACUGGGCGUAAAGGGCUCGUAGGUGGCCAACUAAGUCAGACGCGAAAUCCCUCAGCUUAACUGGGGAACUGCGUCUGAUACUGGAUGGCUUGAGUUUGGGAGAGGGAUGCGGAAUUCCAGGUGUAGCGGUGAAAUGCGUAGAUAUCUGGAGGAACACCGGUGGCGAAGGCGGCAUCCUGGACCAACACUGACACUGAGGAGCGAAAGCCAGGGGAGCAAACGGG